rnacentral:rRNA from 1 species
GACGAACGCUGGCGGCGUGCUUAACACAUGCUUUUCGAGCGGAGACAGAAGACUUCGGUUUUCUGUUUUAGCGGCGGACGGGUGAGUAACGCGUGAGUAAUCUGUCCCAGAUAGGGGGAUAACACUUGGAAACAGGUGCUAAUACCGCAUAAGACCACGAGAUCACAUGGUUUCGAGGUAAAAGGAGAAAUCCGGUUUGGGGUGAGCUCGCGUCCGAUUAGCUAGUUGGUGAGGUAACGGCCCACCAAGGCGACGAUCGGUAGCCGACCUGAGAGGGUGAUCGGCCACAUUGGAACUGAGAAACGGUCCAAACUCCUACGGGAGGCAGCAGUGGGGAAUAUUGGGCAAUGGGCGAAAGCCUGACCCAGCAACGCCGCGUGAGGGAAGAAGGUUUUCGGAUUGUAAACCUCUGUCGCAGGGGACGAAGGAAGUGACGGUACCCUGUAAGAAAGCCCCGGCUAACUACGUGCCAGCAGCCGCGGUAAUACGUAGGGGGCGAGCGUUGUCCGGAAUUACUGGGCGUAAAGGGAGCGUAGGCGGUCGAUUAAGUUAGAUGUGAAACCCCCGGGCUUAACUUGGGGACUGCAUCUAAUACUGGUUGACUUAGAGUACAGGAGAGGGAAGCGGAAUUCCUAGUGUAGCGGUGAAAUGCGUAGAUAUUAGGAGGAACACCAGUGGCGAAGGCGGCUUUCUGGACUGACACUGACGCUGAGGCUCGAAAGCGUGGGGAGCAAACAGGAUUAGAUACCCUGGUAGUCCACGCUGUAAACGAUGAAUACUAGGUGUAGGGGGUAUCAACUCCCUCUGUGCCGCAGCAAACGCAAUAAGUAUUCCGCCUGGGGAGUACGGCCGCAAGGUUGAAACUCAAAGGAAUUGACGGGGGCCCGCACAAGCAGUGGAUUAUGUGGUUUAAUUCGACGCAACGCGAAGAACCUUACCAGGACUUGACAUCCAACUAACGAAGUAGAGAUACAUUAGGUGCCCUUCGGGGAAAGUUGAGACAGGUGGUGCAUGGUUGUCGUCAGCUCGUGUCGUGAGAUGUUGGGUUAAGUCCCGCAACGAGCGCAACCCCUAUUGUUAGUUGCUACGAAAGAGCACUCUAGCGAGACUGCCGUUGACAAAACGGAGGAAGGCGGGGACGACGUCAAAUCAUCAUGCCCCUUAUGUCCUGGGCUACACACGUAAUACAAUGGUGGCCAACAGAGGGAAGCAAAGCCGCAAGGUGGAGCAAAUCCCUAAAAGCCAUCUCAGUUCGGAUUGCAGGCUGCAACUCGCCUGCAUGAAGCUGGAAUAAAUAGUAAUCGCGGAUCAGCAUGCCGCGGUGA